rnacentral:rRNA from 1 species
CGGACGGGUGAGUAAUGUCUGGGAAACUGCCCGAUGGAGGGGGAUAACUAUGGAAACGGUAGCUAAUACCGCAUAACGUCGCAAGACCAAAGAGGGGGACCUUCGGGCCUCUUGCCAUCGGAUGUGCCCAGAUGGGAUUAGCUAGUAGGUGGGGUAACGGCUCACCUAGGCGACGAUCCCUAGCUGGUCUGAGAGGAUGACCAGCCACACUGGAACUGAGACACGGUCCAG